rnacentral:rRNA from 1 species
UACGGGGGGGGCAAGCGUUGUUCGGAAUUACUGGGCGUAAAGGGCUCGUAGGCGGCCAACUAAGUCAGACGUGAAAUCCCUCAGCUUAACUGGGGAACUGCGUCUGAUACUGGAUGGCUUGGAUUCGGGAGAGGAAUGCGGAAUUCCAGGUGUAGCGGUGAAAUGCGUAGAUAUCUGGAGGAACACCGGUGGCGAAGGCGGCAUUCUGGACCGAUAUUGACGCUGAGGCGCGAAAGCUAGGGGAGCAAACGGG